GUGGUUGCAGCAAAAAAUCAUCGUCGUCGCCGUCCUCGUCUGCAGCUCCGUCGUGAUUGGAUGUAGAAAAUCAUCUCGUCGGUUGUAACAAAAAGAGAUUACGGUUGUAGCAAAAUCAUCAUGACCAAAAAUGCAGUAGAAAAACAGAGUAGCGCUCGCCAUGGUCACCAUGGUUGCAACUCUGACACCUGCCGGUUCCAGCACGAGGUGACUACGGUUGCAACAUCAAUAGCAUCAUCGCCUCCGGCUCGCCGCGGGUCGGAGUGCCAAGCAACAAAAAUCUUUAGUUGGUCGGUUGAAGCAAAAAAUUACUAGGUUCCAGCAAAAACAAAAGCCGAUUCCAGCAAAAACAAAGUCAGCAGGAAAAAGCUCCCAGUGACGAUUGUAGCAAAAAAAUAGCUAGUUCCAGCAAAAACACACAGUGGUUCCAACAAAAAUAAGGUUGUCGCCGGCGGCAAGGGCCCAUCGGGAUUUGCCGCCAUGGUUCCAGCAUCUGGAAGCCACGGGUUCCAACAUUUCUAACCGCUGGGUGUAGCACCGCAGGAGCUGCUCGAUGCAAUCGCCGUUGAAUCACCAUCGAUGCAGCCCACUGUCGACGCAGCGCAGCCGCCAUGGGAACUCCUCUCGCUCUUUUUUGCAGCAAAAACAACAAGGAUGGGAGAGGCGAGGGGGUUCGGUGAGCGGCCAUGGCUGGCUCCAAGUAGCAGCGGCCGGUGCUAAAUCUCAUGGAGGGGGAUUUCUCUCGCUGGAGAAAGAAAGAGAGAGAGAUGUGGAGGGGAUGGGGGUGAAGGGAGGAAGAGGAUAAGGGAGGGAGGUGGAAAGAAGAAGAUAAGGCGGAGAAAAAAAAGCUGGGCGUGCGGUG
rnacentral:rRNA from 1 species